AGUCGGAUAAUCGCGCCUUUGUAAGGUGAGGAAAGUCCGUGCAUCCAAGAACAGGCAUCCGGAGAAACUCCGGGCGGUGUGAACCGGCGGAUAGUGCCACAGAAAUGCGGACUGCCGAUGGAUUUUAUAUCACAGGCGAUGGUGCAACGGUGAGUUAAGAGCUUCACCAGCGGGGUCGGAAGGCCUCGGCUAGGUAAACCCAUGUCGGAUGCAAGGUUGAGUUCAGGGUUAUAAAGGUUGUUCGCCCACCUGAGAAAGAACCGCUAGAACUUGGGAGUAAUCCCAAGACCAGACAGAUGAUUAUCUAAAACAGAACACGGCUUACGGGCUGCUUUA
rnacentral:RNase_P_RNA from 1 species